CGUCUAUAUACGUAUAGCAUAUCAAUAAGCGGAGGAAAAGAAACUAACUAGGAUUCCCUCAGUAACGGCGAGUGAAGCGGGAAGAGCUCAAAUUUGAAAUCUUCAAGGUUCUACCUUGACGAAUUGUAGUUUAAAGAAGUGUUUUCUGUUGGAGUUUUGGUAAGAGUUCUUUGGAAUAGGACAUCAUAGGAGGGUGAGAAUCCCGUAUUUGACCAUUAUUUCCAGCUUUGUGAUACACUUUCAAAGAGUCGGAUUGUUUGGGAAUGCAGUCCAAAAUGGGUGGUAAAUUUCAUCUAAAGCUAAAUAUUGGCGAGAGACCGAUAGCGAACAAGUACCGUGAGGGAAAGAUGAAAAGAACUUUGAAAAGAGAGUUAAACAGUACGUGAAAUUGUCAAAAGGGAAGCGUUUGACACCAGUGUUGUUUUCUCGAAAAUCAAUUAAAAAAGGACCUGGAUUUUGUGUUGUAUUGACUUUAUCAGCUUUCUGCACUCUUUUCUUGUCUUUUUUAAUGCACUUUUCGUUUAACAAGUCAACAUCAAUUUCUUUUGUUGUAAAAGGGUCAUUGGAAGGUGGCUUUCUUUUCGGAGAAAGUGUUUAUAGCCUUUGGCUUCUGCAAUCGGAGAGAUUGAGGUCUGCAGCGUAGAUCCUUCGGGGUUAGAUGCAUUAGUGCUAAGUUAUAGCCUUUCAUAGACAACUUGUUGACUAUGAUCAGUCAUGUAGCUUACUCGCUGAUGUUAUUUUACCUACGCUUAGGAUGUUGAAGUCAUCGUAUCGCGC
rnacentral:rRNA from 1 species